CGAGAUGGCCAGACAAUCGCUGCUUUAUCGUUGUGUUUUUGAGUUUACUCAUAAGCAGACGGAUAGAGGGGAGGAAAGUCCGGGCUCCAAAGGGCAGAGUGCCAGAUAACUUCUGGGAGGCGCGAGCCUACGACCAGUGCAGCAGAGAGUAUACCGCCGAUGGCUUGGGCAACUAAGCACAGGUAAGGGUGAAAGGGUGCGGUAAGAGCGCACCGCGCGGCUAGUAAUAGUUCGUGGCACGGUAAACUCCACUCGGAGCAAUUUCAAAUAGGGUUCCAGUACUCUUGAAGUACAGGCGUGGCCCACGUCGGAACCGGGUAGAAAGCUUGAGCCAAUAAGCAAUUAUUGGCCUAGACGAAUGAUUGUCCAAGACAAAACCCGGCUUAUCGGCCAUCUCGCACC
rnacentral:RNase_P_RNA from 1 species